UCUUACGGCCACACCGGCCUGAGUACGCCUGAUCUCGUCCGAUCUCGGAAGCUAAGCAGGGUCGGGCCUGGUUAGUACUUGGAUGGGAGACCGCCUGGGAAUACCAGGUACUGUAAACU
rnacentral:rRNA from 1 species